AAAAGAAGAUCAAGAAGAGCUUCAGAAUGAAGCUUUCUUGAUGGAGGGGAGCGGCAGACGGGUGAGUAACACGUGGGAACGUACCCUUUACUACGGAAUAACGCAGGGAAACUUGUGCUACUACCGUAUGUGCCCUUCGGGGGAAAGAUUUAUCGGUAAAGGAUCGGCCCGAGUUGGAUUAGCUAGUUGGUGGGGUAAAGGCCUACCAAGGCGACGAUCCAUAGCUGGUCUGAGAGGAUGAUCAGCCACAUUGGGACUGAGACACGGCCCAAACUCCUACGGGAGGCAGCAGUGGGGAAUAUUGGACAAUGGGCGCAAGCCUGAUCCAGCCAUGCCGCGUGAGUGAUGAAGGCCUUAGGGUUGUAAAGCUCUUUCACCGGAGAAGAUAAUGACGGUAUCCGGAGAAGAAGCCCCGGCUAACUUCGUGCCAGCCGCCGCCGUAAUAC
rnacentral:rRNA from 1 species